GCCAGUGUGGCAUAGUGGUUUGUCCGUUGGACUACAACUCUGGAGCCCAGGGUUCAAUUUCCUGCUCAGUCA